rnacentral:rRNA from 1 species
UACAGAGGUCUCAAGCGUUGUUCGGAUUCAUUGGGCGUAAAGGGUGCGUAGGCGGCGCGGUAAGUCGGGUGUGAAAUCUCGGAGCUUAACUCCGAAACUGCAUUCGAUACUGCCGUGCUUGAGGACUGGAGAGGAGACUGGAAUUUACGGUGUAGCGGUGAAAUGCGUAGAUAUCAGGAGGAACACCGGUGGCGAAGGCGGGUCUCUGGGCCGUAACUGACGCUGAGGAGCGAAAGCAUGGGGGAGCGAACAGG